AACGAACGCUGGCGGCAGGCUUAACACAUGCAAGUCGAGCGUCCUCGCAAGGGGGCGCGGCAGACGGGUGCGUAACGCGUGGGAACAUACCUCUCGGUUCGGAAUAACCCAGGGAAACUUGGGACAAUACCGGAUACGUGCGAAAGCAGAAAGAUUUAUCGCCGAGAGAUUGGCCCGCGUCCGAUUAGCUGGUUGGUGAGGUAACGGCUCACCAAGGCGACGAUCGGUAGCUGGUCUGAGAGGAUGAUCAGCCACACUGGGACUGAGACACGGCCCAGACUCCUACGGGAGGCAGCAGUGGGGAAUAUUGGACAAUGGGCGCAAGCCUGAUCCAGCCAUGCCGCGUGAGUGAUGAAGGCCCUAGGGUUGUAAAGCUCUUUCGCCAGGGACGAUAAUGACGGUACCUGGAUAAGAAGCCCCGGCUAACUUCGUGCCAGCAGCCGCGGUAAU
rnacentral:rRNA from 1 species